UGGACCAAUGAUGAAAGUAUAUCAUGAACCAAAGAUUAUGAUUAAUCUAAUUCGUGUACCUGAGAUCAUU
rnacentral:snoRNA from 1 species